CAUUAAGAAGCUUCUACAGCACUAGCCUUUUAAGCUAGAGAGGGGGGGGGUUUAGCCCCCCCUUAAUGAA
rnacentral:tRNA from 1 species